rfam:Nestor notabilis contig86250, whole genome shotgun sequence.
UGGUUUUGCAAUAGCAAUCCUGCUCAGUACAAGAGGAACUGCAAGUUCAGACCCCUGGUGUGUGCACUUGGUUGAGGAGCCCCUGGUAUGAGGCUACCAUCUAUGCGCUUUUGACUGAAUGCCUCUAAGUCAGCAUCCCAUCUAGACGUAGCAAUACCAUAGUGCUGCCAGUGCCUCAGUGAGCUUGUGAUAGCCACCUACCUGCCCUGCAUGGGGGAGGCCCUGUGCAGAGCACCAGUGAUGGUUCAGACCAGAGGGUCUGCCUCUCCACCAUUGCAUUGCACUUAAUUGUGGGCCACUUAAAUCAUUCAUAGAUGACCUGAUUCUGGGUCAGGGGUUUGUAUGUAGCAGAGCAGCUUCCUUACUGUGAUCUAUUGGGAACUGGCCCUUGACACAAGCUUUU